CAAGAAUUGAAAAGCGUAAUAUAAAGUAACACAAUGAUAAUUUAAACCUCUGCACAUCUCAGAAGACAAGAAACAACUGACUAGUCUCACUUGGUUUCUUUUUGUUCAUCUUUUUUUUUUGUAUAGGCUGAUUUGUGCUAAAUUCAGUGUUGUUGGAAAUUGAUGGUAAUACUUCACACACAAGUAACGCUUCACUUUCUGGUUUCAUUUUCAAGAAAGUAGCCACACCCUGAAUGUAACAGAAACGCAAGAAACAGAAACCCAAACAGCAUUAACUGUUGCGCUUGUAUCUGAACACAUCAAGGUAAGUUUGUCAAACUUAUCGCCUUACAUCCAAGUUAGUUUAUUAUGAACUUUGAAUUCCACUUGGAAUAUUUUGCUGAAUUUCCUGUUUUUGUAGAUGGGUGCAAUUUACAACCUACUUGAGAAGCACAGGCUGCAAUCUUACUACAACAAGUUUCUACAGUUAGGUGUGAAUGAUGAAAGAGAUUUCAUUGACAGCAUAUCUGAUGAAGACUUAAACAACCUGGGACUUAGUCAAGUGGAAAAGAAUCGUUUCUCUACCAUGAAAACAACAAUUGGGAGAUUUAGAGCUCCAGCACACCCAGCUGCAAUGUCAGUGCAGAAGUCAGUGAGGUCUUUUUCUCUGUUCUAUACAUAUCCAAAAUGUCCACAACCAAAAUGCAUCGAAGGUAAGAAAUCCAUAUUAUCUUUUCUUUUAAAAAGUACACACAAACACAGGCAGACAUCUGACAAGUCACAGCUGGGGGGCGGGCACAAAGGGCACACACUGCAAACAAGUAUGAGGAACUCCUAAAAGGAAAAUGAACAGUGAUAUAGAGUGACACAAAAGGAAAGAUGACAGUGCUGUUAUUUUUCAGGUCUUUUAAUCAAAAAUGAAUUUAAAGCUGUAUAUAUAAAUAUACAGCUGUAUAUAAGCUGUAUAUUUGUUUUACCAACUGUGUGUUUAUAUUGAUAUAAAUAUAUAUAUCUAUAUAGAUAUAUAUAGUUGUUAUAUAGUUGCUUACUGAGAGGACGAGGACAACCUUGUUUAGAUGAAAUG
rnacentral:lncRNA from 1 species